AGUGAACGCUGGCGGCGUGCUUAACACAUGCAAGUCGAACGAGAACGGAAUAUAGCUUGCUAUAUUUGUCAGCUAAGUGGCGCACGGGUGAGUAAUGUAUAGAUAACCUGCCCUUAAGAAAGGAAUAACAGUUGGAAACGACUGCUAAUGCCCUAUAUGCCUUUAAUACAUAAGUAUGCAAGGGAAACGCUUUAGUGCUUAAGGAUGGGUCUGUAUGGUAUCAGCUUGUUGGUGAGGUAAUGGCUCACCAAGGCUAUGACGCCUAACUGGUUUGAGAGGAUGAUCAGUCGCACUGGACCUGAGACACGGUCCAGACUCCUACGGGAGGCAGCAGUGGGGAAUAUUGCACAAUGGACGAAAGUCUGAUGCAGCAACGCCGCGUGGAGGAUGACACAUUUCGGUGCGUAAACUCCUUUUAUAUAGGAAGAUAAUGACGGUACUAUAUGAAUAAGCACCGGCUAACUCCGUGCCAGCAGCCGCAGUAA
rnacentral:rRNA from 1 species